AGGCGUCACUGACCGGAUAUAGAAAGCAAGAAAAUGGAAAAGUUAUUUUCCCUCCUCCUCUGCUUCUAAAACCUUCUCUGGAAGUGGCUGUAUCCCUCGGGCAAUCCUCCAUUCUCCAUAGUCUCAACAUCGGCCAGGAAGCCUCUUCUCUGUGGUUCCAGCAUAGUCACAGAGCCCUUCUACUCUACACAUCUGGGUUCUGCCUUACAACUGCAAGAAAAUUAAUUCUGCUGCCAACCUAAGUAGAUACAUCACCAAUUGAGUCUCCAGAUGAGAACCAAGCUGUGGCUAACCUGGACUAUAGCCUGCUAAGGACUCAGCUAAGCCAUGUCCAGACUUCUGACCCACAUACACUGUGAGAUAAUAAAGGUGUGAUGAUUUAACCUGC